rnacentral:rRNA from 1 species
GACGAACGCUGGCGGCGUGCCUAAUACAUGCAAGUAGAACGCUGAAGGAGGAGCUUGCUUCUCUGGAUGAGUUGCGAACGGGUGAGUAACGCGUAGGUAACCUGCCUGGUAGCGGGGGAUAACUAUUGGAAACGAUAGCUAAUACCGCAUAAUAGUAGAUGUUGCAUGACAUUUGCUUAAAAGGUGCAAUUGCAUCACUACCAGAUGGACCUGCGUUGUAUUAGCUAUUUGGUGGGGUAACGGCUCACCAAGGCGACGAUACAUAGCCGACCUGAGAGGGUGAUCGGCCACACUGGGACUGAGACACGGCCCAGACUCCUACGGGAGGCAGCAGUAGGGAAUCUUCGGACAUGGACGGAAGUCUGACCGAGCAACGCCGCGUGAGUGAAGAAGGUUUUCGGAUCGUAAAGCUCUGUUGUAAGAGAAGAACGAGUGUGAGAGUGGAAAGUUCACACUGUGACGGUAUCUUAACAGAAAGGGACGGCUAACUACGUG